rnacentral:rRNA from 1 species
UUGCGAGGAGAAAAAACCCGAUCCCAUCCCGAACUCGGCCGUUAAGCUCCUCCGCGCCGAUGGUACUCCGUCUCAAGACGUGGGAGAGUAGGUCGUCGCCA